rnacentral:rRNA from 1 species
GACGAACGCUGGCGGCGUGCCUAAUACAUGCAAGUAGAACGCUGAAGCUUGGUGCUUGCACCGAGCGGCUGAGUUGCGAACGGGUGAGUAACGCGUAGGUAACCUGCCUGGUAGCGGGGGAUAACUAUUGGAAACGAUAGCUAAUACCGCAUAAUAGUAGAUGUUGCAUGACAUUUGCUUAAAAGUUGCAAUUGCAUCACUACCAGAUGGACCUGCGUUGUAUUAGCUAGUUGGUGAGGUAACGGCUCACCAAGGCAACGAUACAUAGCCGACCUGAGAGGGUGAUCGGCCACACUGGGACUGAGACACGGCCCAGACUCCUACGGGAGGCAGCAGUAGGGAAUCUUCGGCAAUGGACGGAAGUCUGACCGAGCAACGCCGCGUGAGUGAAGAAGGGUUUCGGAUCGUAAAGCUCUGUUGUAAGAGAAGAACGAGUGUGAGAGUGGAAAGUUCACACUGUGACGGUAUCUUACCAGAAAGGGACGGCUAACUACGUG